AUUUUACAACAGAAGAAAUUUCUGCAGACCAUGGGGAAUUAAAAUAAAAGCAACAAACUGCAAGAAAAAAAUGAUGAAAUCCACUCCUCCAGCUGUUGACAGGUUUCUCUCCUGCCUCACUGAUUUGACCUCCGGCCUCGGACCCUUCUGGGGGCUCUGUACCCCAGGGGAGCGAGAUUUCCCCCUCAGCAUCACUAUACCUCCUUAGGCACUAUCACAAAGAAUGAAGAUGAUGAUAGACAACACUUGCUUUACAUAAUGGAAAAAAUAAAAAAGGCCUGAUUUUCUUUUAUACUAAGACUCCUUCACACCAUAUUGGUAAUAUAAGAAAAGUUUUCAGAGAAAAAAGAUUUCCUGAUGGACAACAGAAUGUUCUUGCUGGACAACAGAAUGAUGACAUCAUGUCAGCAGCAUCAACAAGCUCUCUUAGCAAAACAAUAGCAGCCAGAGAGAGGGGAGAAGGCUAAAUUUAUUGAGCAUUCUUCACUGAAAGUUAUGUUUUCAACAUGCUUCUUAAAGUGUUCAAGCAUCCCAGGAUCACAAUAGUCUUUUUGGCCACAGCAUCACACUUGGAGCUCAAGAUCAGCUUCAUUAUUCACCAAGAGUUCCAAAUCUUUUUCACAGUCACUGCUUUCCAGGAUAGAGACUCCAUCCUGUCAUUGAUAAAAAAAUUCAAUAGUAUAGGACCAAGAACUGAUCCUUGGGGAAAUCCAUUGGAAACACAUCUGCACAAGAAUAACUCUUUUAUUUUGAGACCUAUCAGUUAGUCUGCUUUUAAUCCAUUUAAAGUGCACCAUGUUAAUUUUAUAUUCUGGGUUUUUUUAAAUCAAAAUGUGUUGGGCACCAAAUCAUGCACUUUGUACAGAAGGCUAAAUAUAUUCAAUCAACAUGAUUACCUUUAGCAACCAAAAUUUUGAUGUCAUCAAAAUAUUUCAAAUUAGUUGCACAGGUUCUAUUUUCCAUGAACCCAUGUUGGUAGGCAUUAAUUAUGUUACAAUUCUUAAAUGUUUUGUUAUCUGAGUCCUAUCUUAGCAUAUCACUAUCUUAGCCAGGAACAAUGUAUGACUGACAUGUUUAUAAUUACCUAAAUCAUCUAAUUUCCUGUUUUUAAAUAUUAGUACAAUAUAACAUUUCUUCCAGCAUUCUGGAAUUAUCACAGUGUUCUCAAACUUUUUUGAAAACCAAUGUUAACAGAUCAAUGAACUCCUAAGGCAGCUCUUUUAAAAAUCUCCACGAUAUAGUGGAGUUAUAUAAUUUGCCUUUUCCUCACAUACGGAAGAGAAAAAUUAUU